UACAGAGGCCACAAGCGUUAGUCGGAAUCACUGGGCUUAAAGGGUGCGUAGGCGGGUCUGCAAGCGUCCUGUGAAAUACCACGGCUCAACCGUGGAACUGCAGGGCGAACUGCGGAUCUUGAGGCAUGUAGGGGCUGCGAGAACAGUAGGUGGAGCGGUGAAAUGCGUAGAUAUCUACUGGAAUGCCGAUGGUGAAGACGCGCAGCUGGGCAUGUCCUGACGCUGAGGCACGAAAGCGUGGGGAGCAAACAGG
rnacentral:rRNA from 1 species